GGGCCCGCACAAGCGGUGGAGUAUGUGGUUUAAUUCGAUGCAACGCGAAGAACCUUACCAGGGUUUGACAUCCUGCGAAUCUCUUGGAAACUUGAGAGUGCCUUCGGGAGCGCAGUGACAGGUGGUGCAUGGCUGUCGUCAGCUCGUGUCGUGAGAUGUUGGGUUAAGUCCCGCAACGAGCGCAACCCACGUCUUUAGUUGCCAACACGUAAAGGUGGGGACUCUGGAAAGACUGCCGGCGUAAGCCGCGAGGAAGGUGGGGACGACGUCAAAUCAUCAUGGCCUUUAUGCCCAGGGCUACACACGUGCUACAAUGGUAGAUACAGAGGGUCGCAAAACCGCGAGGUGGAGCUAAUCUCAGAAAGUCUAUCCCAGUUCGGAUUGGAGUCUGCAACUCGACUCCAUG
rnacentral:rRNA from 1 species